UGCUUUGCAUCUUCUUAAGAUGUCGUUUCAGCCUUGAGAAACAUUUUUUGGUCGAAUGAUUUUCCCUUUGAGGGAAUAUUCUCACUAGUAAGGGAUUUCCCUUAACCUAAUUUUACUAUUUCCUUCCUUUUUAUCAUUAAACCCAGUUCUUAUCCUUACUACAUCUUCCUAGAUACAUAUACACACUUAAUCAAUCAUACCAAAUGCGAGAAACUAGAAU
rnacentral:lncRNA from 1 species